rnacentral:rRNA from 1 species
GACGAACGCUGGCGGCGUGCUUAACACAUGCAAGUCGAACGAUGAAGCCGGAGCUUGCUCUGGUGAAUUAGUGGCGAACGGGUGAGUAACACGUGAGUAACCUGCCCUUGACUCUGGGAUAACUGCUAGAAAUGGUAGCUAAUACCGGAUACGACCCUCGGCGGCAUCGCCAGGGGGUGGAAAGAAUUUCGGUCAAGGAUGGACUCGCGGCCUAUCAGCUAGUUGGUGAGGUAACGGCUCACCAAGGCGACGACGGGUAGCCGGCCUGAGAGGGUGACCGGCCACACUGGGACUGAGACACGGCCCAGACUCCUACGGGAGGCAGCAGUGGGGAAUAUUGCACAAUGGGCGCAAGCCUGAUGCAGCAACGCCGCGUGAGGGAUGACGGCC